GGCAGAGGGUGCAACCGUUGUUCGGAUUUACUGGGCGUAAAGCGUGUGUAGGCGGCUUCGCAAGUUGGAUGUGAAAUCCCACGGCUCAACCGUGGACGUGCAUCCAAAACUGCGUCGCUAGAGUCUCGGAGAGGAAGGUGGAAUGCUUGGUGUAGAGGUGAAAUUCGUAGAUAUCAAGCAGAACACCUGCGGCGAAGGCGGCCUUCUGGACGAUGACUGACGCUGAGGCGCGAAAGCGUGGGGAGCAAACAGG
rnacentral:rRNA from 1 species